ACGUUGUUUGUUUUGAAACUUCUCAUGAGAAAGUUACUGUACACGCUAUUUAUGAUUGCCUUAUUUGCUAACAACUGGGAAAAAACUAUACAGGUUAAAAUAUUUUAUUUUCAAAUUACGUUAUUUAAUUGAUUGAAUAAUCUUCUGUAAAGGUGUAUUUUAGAGCAGACUGUUUAUAACAAUGAAGAGCAUCCAGAGCUAAGUAAUAUGGAUGAUUUAUAUUUUUUAACUUCAUUCAUUUACAAGAAAACCCACGAAGAAUUGCAUACAGUAAGAACAGAAAAGAAUCAUCCAAGAUCAACAACAAUUUCUCCGGCAAAGCAUUUCUCAAAUAAUGCCAAAGUUAAAAGCAAAAUUGCAUCAGACACAAAAAGCCACUCUAAGCGAUGUCCUAAUGAUGAAACUUGUUUCUUACUACGAGGAGAAGUACAAAGUAGCAGAUCACGAACCAACAGAAAGAGAAACAAAAACCCCAGUGCUAAGUGAAAACGAUAUUUUAGACACUGAAAACAAAGAUGCACUAAGGAUUGGCUACGGGUAUAAAAAUCUUAAAAGCUAUUCUAAUAUAAUGGACGAGCCGGAGGUAGUAAUUGCCUGAUAGGCGUUAAUAAUCUUGUUUUUAAGGAUAAAAAGACGAAUAUAACUUAUUAUUGUUUGCGU